rnacentral:lncRNA from 1 species
GUCUAAAUAGUAAAUAGCUGUGUUUUUAAGUACUAGUAUUAAAGUUCUAACGCUGGAAAUUAAGUCUAGCGUUUGAGAUGCAGUUUUGCACAGAAUCUUUAACGUCAAUAAUGUUGUAAUUGACAUCUCCAGGGCUAGAAUUUAUUUAUUUUUUUAUGUGUAACAUAUUUGUUUUUCGUUCGUUUUUUUCUUUAUAUAUCAAUAAGGCCGUUAGUUUUCUCGUUACAAUUGUUUUACAUUGUCAUUUCGGGGCCUUUUAUAGCUGUCCAUGCAGUAUGGGCUUUGCUUAUUACUGAAGGCCGUACGGCGACCUCUAGUUGUUACUUUAUGUGUCAUUUUGGUCUCUUGUGGAGAGUUGUAUCAUUGGCAAUCGUACCACAGAAAGAACAUUGAUAAUAAAACGGAUAUAUACAAAUUGAAAACAAAUCGCGUAAGAAAAAUCAAUUAUUGGUAUGUUAGUUUUCUUUGGUAUCAUUAAUAUUUUUGGCUCAACUUCUUAAUCAUGAUCAGGCAAAAUUAUUGGCUUUUUAUUCUGACAUUAUUUUUUUUCUUAUUCCUAUUCCACCCCAUUUUUCGGCAUAUUACACGUCCGUUUUAUUUGGUCAUGACAUCGCGGACUCCUAACGGAUGCAAAAAUUUUGUAAAUGUAAAACUUUUGUUUAUCCUUU